rnacentral:rRNA from 1 species
ACAGGAUUCCCCUAGUAACUGCGAGUGAAGCGGGAAAAGCUCAAAUUUGAAAUCUGGCAGUUCUUGACUGUCCGAGUUGUAAUCUAGAGAAGUGUUGCCUGUGCUGGACCGUGUACAAGUAUCCUGGAAUGGAGCAUCAUAGAGGGUGAGAAUCCCGUCUUUGACACGGACUACCUGUACAUUAUGGUANGCUCUCAAAGAGUCGAGUUGUUUGGGAAUGCAGCUCAAAAUGGGUGGUAAAUGCCAUCUAAAGCUAAAUAUUGGCGAGAGACCGAUAGCGAACAAGUACCGUGAGGGAAAGAUGAAAAGAACUUUGGAAAGAGAGUUAAACAGUACGUGAAAUUGCUGAAAGGGAAACGCUUGAAGUCAGUCGCGUUGGCUGGAAAUCAGCCUUGCUUUUGCUUGGUGUACUUUCUGGCUGACGGGUCAGCAUCAAUUUUGACCACUGGAUAAAGUCACUGGGAAUGUGGCACCUUCGGGUGUGUUAUAGCCCUGAGUCGCAUACAGUGGUUGGGAUUGAGGAACUCAGCACGCCGCAAGGACGGGUCUCGACCACGUUCGUGCUUAGGAUGCUGGCAUAAUGGCUUUAAUCGACCCGUCUUGAAACACGGACCAAGGAGUCUAACAUGCCUGCGAGUGUUUGGGUGGAAAACCCAUGCGCGUAAUGAAAGUGAAAGUUGAGAUCCCUUCAGGGAGCAUUGACGCCCGGACCAGACCUUCUGUGACGGAUCCGCGGUAGAGCAUGUAUGUUGGGACCCGAAAGAUGGUGAACUAUGCCUGAAUAGGGUGAAGCCAGAGGAAACUCUGGUGGAGGCUCGUAGCGAUUCUGACGUGCAAAUCGAUCGUCAAAUUUGGGUAUAGGGGCGAAAGACUAAUCGAACCAUCUAGUAGCUGGUUCCUGCGA